AGGCCUAAUACAUGCAAGUCGAGGGGUAGAGAGAGCUUGCUUUCUUGAGACCGGCGCACGGGUGCGUAACGCGUAUGCAACCUACCUUUAUCUGGGGGAUAGCCCGGAGAAAUCCGGAUUAAUACCGCAUAAAAUCACAGAAUAGCAUUAUUUAAUGAUCAAACAUUUAUGGGAUGAAGAUGGGCAUGCGUGUCAUUAGCUAGUUGGCGGGGUAACGGCCCACCAAGGCGACGAUGACUAGGGGAUCUGAGAGGAUGGCCCCCCACACUGGUACUGAGACACGGACCAGACUCCUACGGGAGGCAGCAGUAAGGAAUAUUGGUCAAUGGAGGCAACUCUGAACCAGCCAUGCCGCGUGCAGGAAGACUGCCCUAUGGGUUGUAAACUGCUUUUAUCCGGGAAUAAACCUUUCUACGUGUAGGAAGCUGAAUGUACCGGAAGAAUAAGGAUCGGCUAACUCCGUGCCAGCAGCCGCGGUAAUACGGAGGAUCCAAGCGUUAUCCGGAUUUAUUGGGUUUAAAGGGUGCGUAGGCGGCCUGUUAAGUCAGGGGUGAAAGACGGUAGCUCAACUAUCGCAGUGCCCUUGAUACUGAUGGGCUUGAAUGGACUAGAGGUAGGCGGAAUGAGACAAGUAGCGGUGAAAUGCAUAGAUAUGUCUCAGAACACCGAUUGCGAAGGCAGCUUACUAUGGUCUUAUUGACGCUGAGGCACGAAAGCGUGGGGAUCAAACAGGAUUAGAUACCCUGGUAGUCCACGCCCUAAACGAUGAACACUCGCUGUUGGCGAUACACAGUCAGCGGCUAAGCGAAAGCGUUAAGUGUUCCACCUGGGGAGUACGCCCGCAAGGGUGAAACUCAAAGGAAUUGACGGGGGCCCGCACAAGCGGAGGAGCAUGUGGUUUAAUUCGAUGAUACGCGAGGAACCUUACCCGGGCUUGAAAGUUAGUGAAUGAUCUAGGGAUAGAUCAGUGAGCAAUCACACGAAACUAGGUGCUGCAUGGCUGUCGUCAGCUCGUGCCGUGAGGUGUUGGGUUAAGUCCCGCAACGAGCGCAACCCCUAUGUUUAGUUGCCAGCAUGUAAUGAUGGGGACUCUAAACAGACUGCCUGUGCAAACAGAGAGGAAGGAGGGGACGACGUCAAGUCAUCAUGGCCCUUACGUCCGGGGCUACACACGUGCUACAAUGGAUGGUACAGAGGGCAGCUAGCUGGCAACAGUAUGCGAAUCUCACAAAGCCAUUCACAGUUCGGAUUGGGGUCUGCAACUCGACCCCAUGAAGUUGGAUUCGCUAGUAAUCGCGUAUCAGCAAUGACGCGGUGAAUACGUUCCCGGGCCUUGUACACACCGCCCGUCAAGCCAUGGAAGUUGGGGGUACCUAAAGUAUGUAACCGCAAGGAGCGUCCUAGGGUAAAACCGAUAACUGGGGCUAAGUCGU
rnacentral:rRNA from 1 species